UACGAAGGGGGCUAGCGUUGCUCGGAAUUACUGGGCGUAAAGGGAGCGUAGGCGGAUCGUUAAGUUAGAGGUGAAAGCCCAGGGCUCAACCCUGGAAUUGACCUUUAAAACUGGCGGUCUUGAGUAUGGCAGAGGUGUGUGGAACUCCGAGUGUAGAGGUGAAAUUCGUAGAUAAUUCGGAAGAACACCAGUGGCGAAAGCGACACACUGGGCCAUUACUGACGCUGAGGCUCGGAAAGCGUGGGG
rnacentral:rRNA from 1 species